CCUACGGGGCGCAGCAGUGAGGAAUAUUGGUCAAUGGGCGUAAGCCUGAACCAGCCAAGUCGCGUGAGGGAUGAAGGUUCUAUGGAUCGUAAACCUCUUUUAUAAGGGAAUAAAGUGCGGGACGUGUCCCGUUUUGUAUGUACCUUAUGAAUAAGGAUCGGCUAACUCCGUGCCAGCAGCCGCGGUAAUACGGAGUAACCGAGCGUUAUCCGGAUUUGUGUGGUUUAAGGGGGGCGUAGGCGGCCUUUUAAGGCAGCGGUGAAAGUCUGUGGCUCAACCAUUGAAUUGCCGUUGAAACUGGGAGGCUUGAGUAUGUUUGAGGCAGGCGGAAGGCGUGGUGUAGCGGUGAAAUGCUUAGAUAUCACGCAGAACCCCGAUUGCGAAGGCAGCCUGCCAAGCCAUGACUGACGCUGAUGCACGAAAGCGUGGGGAUCAAACAGGAUUAGAUACCCUUGUAGUC
rnacentral:rRNA from 1 species